AGUGAACGCUGGCGGCAGGCCUAACACAUGCCAGUCGAACGGCAGCACAGUAAGAGCUUGCUCUUACGGGUGGCGAGUGGCGGACGGGUGAGGAAUACAUCGGAAUCUACUUUUUCGUGGGGGAUAACGUAGGGACUCUUACGCUAAUACCGCAUACGACCUACGGGUGAAAGCAGGGGAUCUUCGGCCCUUGCGUGAUUGUAUGAGCCGAUGUCGGAUUAGCUAGUUGGCGGGGUAAAGGCCCACCAAGGCGACGAUCCGUAGCUGGUCUGAGAGGAUGAUCAGCCACACUGGAACUGAGACACGGUCCAGACUCCUACGGGAGGCAGCAGUGGGGAAUAUUGGACAAUGGGCGCAAGCCUGAUCCAGCCAUACCGCGUGGGUGAAGAAGGCCUUCGGGUUGUAAAGCCCUUUUGUUGGGAAAGAAAAGCAGCAGGUUAAUACCUCGCUGUUCUGACGGUACCAAAAGAAUAAGCACCGGCUAACUUCGUG
rnacentral:rRNA from 1 species